AUCGAACGCUGGCGGCAGGCCUAACACAUGCAAGUCGAACGAGUGGAGGACGGGGGAGUACUGUCUGGGAAACCGCCCGAAGGAGGGGGAUAAGUACUGGAAAAGGUAGCUAAUAACGUAUAACAGCGGAUGUGCCAAGAUGGGAUUAGCUAGUAGGUGGGGUAACGGCCCACCUAGGCGACGAUCCCUAGCUGCUCUGCGAGGAUGACCAGCCACACUGGAACUGCGACACGGGCCAGACUCCUACGUGAGGCAGCCGUGGUGAAUCUUGCGCAAUGGGCGCAAGUCUGACGCAGCCAUGCCGCGUGUAUGAAGAAGGCCUUCGGGUUGUAAAGUUCUUUUGGCGAAGAGGCGUUACUCGCCGAAGAAGCACCGGCUAACUCCGUGCCAGCCGCCGCGGUAAUAC
rnacentral:rRNA from 1 species